AUUGAACGCUGGCGGCGUGUCUAAUACAUGCAAGUAGAACGCAGUUGCGAACGAGUGAGUAACGAGUAGGUAACUGCCUGGUAGCGGGGGAUAACUAUUGGAAACGAUAGCUAAUACCGAAUACUACCAGAUGGACCUGCGUUGUAGUAGCUAGUUGGAGGGGUAACGGCGCACCAAGGCAACGAUACCUAGCCGCACUGAGAGUGUGAUCGGCCACACUGGGACUGGGACACGGCCCAGAAUCCUACUGGAGGCAGCAGUAGGGAAUCUUCGGCAAUGGACGGAAGUCUGACCGAGCAACGCCGCGUGAGUGAAGAAGGUUUUCGGAUCGUAAAGCUCUGUUGUAAGAGAAGCGGUAUCUUACCAGAAAGGGACGGCUAACUACGUGCCAGCAGCCGCGGUAAUUC
rnacentral:rRNA from 1 species